GAUGAACGCUGGCGGCGUGCCUAACACAUGCAAGUCGAACGAGAAGCUAACCUUUGAUUCCUUCGGGAUGAUCAGGUUGGCAGAAAGUGGCGAACGGGUGAGUAACGCGUGGGUAAUCUACCCUAAAGUGGGGGAUAACCCUCCGAAAGGAGGGCUAAUACCGCAUAAUAUCUUCUCCUCUAAAGAGGUAAAGAUUAAAGGUGGCCUCUAUUUAUAAGCUAUCACUUUAGGAUGAGCCCGCGUCCUAUUAGUUAGUUGGUGGGGUAAUGGCCUACCAAGACCACAAUGGGUAGCCGGUCUGAGAGGAUGUACGGCCACACUGGGACUGAGAUACGGCCCAGACUCCUACGGGAGGCAGCAGUGGGGAAUAUUGCGCAAUGGGGGAAACCCUGACGCAGCGACGCCGCGUGGACGAUGAAGGCCUUCGGGUUGUAAAGUCCUGUUCUGGGGGAAGAAACCUUAAGGGUCCAAUAAACCCUUAAGCUGACGGUACCC
rnacentral:rRNA from 1 species